CCUACGGGCGGCAGCAGUGAGGAAUAUUGGUCAAUGGGCGAGAGCCUGAACCAGCCAAGUCGCGUGAGGGAGUACUGCCCUAUGGGUUGUAAACCUCUUUUGUCGGGGAGCAAAAGCCGGACGUGUCCGGCUGUGAGAGUACCCGAAGAAAAAGCAGCGGCUAACUCCGUGCCAGCAGCCGCGGUAAUACGGAGGAUGCGAGCGUUAUCCGGAUUGAUUGGGUUUAAAGGGUGCGCAGGCGGAUUUUUAAGUCAGCGGUCAAAGCGUGGGGCUCAACCCCAUCCCGCCGUUGAAACUGGGGAUCUAGAGUGUGCGAGAGGUAUGCGGACUGCGUGGUGUAGCGGUGAAAUGCAUAGAUAUCACGCAGAACCCCGAUUGCGAAGGCAGCAUACCGGUGCACAACUGACGCUCAGGCACGAAAGCGUGGGUAUCGAACAGGAUUAGAUACCCGUGUAGUC
rnacentral:rRNA from 1 species